CCUCAAAUCAGUGCCCUCUCUCUCUCUCUCUCUCUCUCUCUCUCUGGUUGUUGGUGUUUCCAUUUGGGUAUUGGAAGAGUAUAGGAUAAAGAAGAAAAAGAAGAAAAAGAAGAAGGAAUGAGGAAGCCAUGCUGUGAUAAAAAAGAAACACACAAGGGAGCAUGGACAAAGCAAGAAGACCAGAAGCUUAUCCAUUACAUUCACACCCAUGGUGAAGGUUCUUGGCGUACCCUCCCCAUGGCUGCUGGGUUGCAUCGUUGUGGUAAAAGUUGCAGACUAAGAUGGAUAAAUUAUCUAAGGCCAGACAUCAAACGGGGCAAUUUUGCUCAAGAUGAAGAGGAUCUCAUUAUCAAGCUCCACGCCCUCCUUGGCAACCGGUGGUCCCUGAUAGCUGGAAGGUUACCGGGGCGAACGGACAAUGAAGUAAAGAACUACUGGAAUUCUCACAUAAAGAGAAAGCUAAUAAGAAUUGGUAUCGAUCCAAACAACCAUCGAUUGAACCAAACCCUUCCUCGCCCACAAAACCAGUCCAUGUCAAAUCUCACCACGUCAUCUGAGUCCACCAAUGAUGCCUCCAAGCCAUUGAAAGCCUUCACCGGCAACGAUGGGGUGUCGGUCAACGCCACUUGCCUUGAAGAUGACAAUUCAAGCUCAAAUGAGUUGAACUUGAACCUUGAUCUCACCAUUGCCAUUCCUUGUGCUUUUUCUUUGUUUGAGGGAAAGAAGGGACAAGAAAAGGAGUUGAAAGUGGCCAAGGAGAGUGAAAGUGACCAGCUUCCUACCCUUCUUCUAUUUAGGUGGUCCCUGAUAGCUGGAAGGUUACCGGGGCGAACGGACAAUGAAGUGAAGAACUACUGGAAUUCUCACAUAAAGAGAAAGCUAAUAAGAAUUGGUAUCGAUCCAAACAACCAUCGAUUGAACCAAACCCUUCCUCGCCCACAAAACCAGUACAUGUCGAAUCUCACCACGUCGUCUGAGUCCACCAAUGAUGCCUCCAAGCCAUUGAAAGCCUUCACCGACAACGAUAGGGUGUCGCUCAACGCAACUUGCCCUGAAGAUGACAAUUCAAGCUCAAAUGAGUUGAACUUGAACCUUGAUCUCACCAUUGCCGUUCCUUGUGCUUUUUCUUUGUUUGAGGGAAAGAAGGGACAAGAAAAGGAGUUGAAAGUGGCCAAGAAGAGUGAAAGUGACCACCUUCCUACCCUUCUUCUAUUUAGAUCAAGGAUAAAACUGGUGAGCAAAUAGGUGAAACUGAAGGUCCUCAAUUUCUCCAUCUUAACGUAGAAGUAAAGCUAUACCUCCUCCAUCUCUUCUUCUCUAGCGGUUGCAUUAGCAGUUAUCAUGGAUCCUUUUGGAUGUACUAAAUUUGAGCGUAAGCUUGAAGAUGACGAAGUUUGUGGGAAUAAAGAAGAAUUAGGUUCCCAUGCAAAUGACCCUAUUCAAAGUUUAACCAAGAAUGAUGUUCUUGAAAUGCAAUUCAAUUCAGAAGAGGAUGCCAAUGAUUUCUAUAAUCAAUAUGCUAAAGGUGUGGGAUUUAGCAUUAGGAAAGACACGCGAACAAUGCAGGCAACAAAGGUUCUUAGUAGAAAAUGGGUAUGCUCAAGGCAAGGCCAAAGAGCAAAGUAACACUUGGCCCGUAUUGAUCGAAAAAGAGCUGCCAGGGCAUUGACUAGAGUUGGUUGUGAUGUUCAUUUUCGCAUAAGGUACAAUCUGGAUGUAGGCAAAUACAUUGUCACUCACUUUAACAUGGAACAAAACCAUCCAUUGGCAACAUCACCAUGUGUGCCAUUUCUUCGGUCGCAUAGGUUUGUAAAGAUCCCCGACAAAGCUCAAGUAAAGACUUUGCACGAUGUUGGUGUCAAGACAAGCCAGAUAAUGGAUUUGUUGGUGCAACAAUCUAGGUCUUUCCCGAAUGUGGGUUUUAUUCACAAGGAUUUGCAUAAUUAUAUUCAAGCCGAGCGCAAAGUAGAAAUGAAGGAUGGUGAUGCGAAGUGUGCUUUGGCUUACUUAUGUGCAAAAGUUGAUGAUGACCCUUACUUCUUUUACAAGUAUGACAAGGAUCAAGAGAAUCGGCUUGACAAAUUGUUUUGCGCAGAUUCAAGGUCUCGCCUAGACUAUGCUGCAUUUGGUGACGUGUUGGUCUUCAAUACAACUUAUAAAACGAAUGCAUAUAACAAACCUUUCGUUAUUUUCACCGGGGUCAAUAACCAUUUUGAAACCACCAUAUUUGCAUACAGCUUGCUUGUUGAUGAGACAAUUGCACCAUACACAUGGGUUUUGUAGAAGUUGUUAGAGGCCAUGGAUAGCAAAAGACCGGUGUCAGUGUUGACAGAUGGGGAUAUGGCUAUGCGUAAGGCAAUACAAAAAGUUUUCCCGAGUGCCAAGCAUCAUCUAUGUAAUUGGCAUAUGCACAGAAAUGCCAAGCGAAAUGUUCGAGUCGAUGGAUUCGAGGGACAUUUCAAGCAUCUCAUGGAUCUUGAUGCAAAUGAGGUUGUAUUUGAGGAAGCUUGGAGUAAGAUGGUCAGAAAAUAUGGCCUUCAAAAUAACAAGUGGGUAUCAGACACCUACAACAACAAAGGCAUGUGGGCUCAGUCAUAUUUGCGUGGUCAUUUUUUUGCUGGAAUGAAGAGCAGUCAGCGUUGUGAGGGUAUGCAUGCUUUUUUCAAUGAGCACCUCAAACGAAAAUUGAAACUAUUCGAAUUUGUUAGAUGUUUUGACAUGGCCCUUUAUCGAUUACGAAACAAAGAAGCGGAUGCCGAGGCAAAAACUGACAACAGUGAUUCUUGUCUUACCACAGCACUUCAGCCUCUAGAGAAAGAUGCAGCAACCAUCUUUACCAGACGUUUGUUCUUAAUGUUCCGUAAUGAAAUAAUUGAGGAAGCAUUGUUGAUUUUUGAUGGAAGGAAAGAGGAGUUCGAUCAUCGCAUAUACAAAUUUUCAAAGUACACUGAAUUUGGUUCCACAUGGGAAGUGUCAUACCAUCCCACAACUAGCAUAAUGAAAUGUAGUUGCAAAAAGUUUGAGUUCUUUGGACUUCCUUGAAGCCACAUGAUUUCUGUGAUGAAAUGUGAACACAUGACUGAAAUUCCCCCAAGUUGUGUGAUGCAUCGUUGGACAAAGCAAGCAAGAAAGGUUGGUGAACAACAUUGCCAAGCCCAAUUCUCUAACACUCUCACAUAGGAGACACGUUUUAGGGUUCUUUGCUCUUCUUUUACUGAAAUGUGUUACUAUGCCUCACAAACAUCUGAAGGAUUUGAAGAGGCUAGAAAUGCAUUUUUCACUAUGACAUGCCGGAUGAAGCAGUUUUGCAUGGCCAAGGGAACUAAUGUUGAUGAAGAAAAAAGGUCAUUGCCGCCAUUUGGGGUUGGGGAUCCGAAAAUAGUGAACACGAAGGGGAAUACUGGGGGAUCCUACAUGGCUAAACCUCGAAAGCCUUUAGCCAAGGCGAUGCCAAUGUUGCAGGGUCGUCGGCCAUACAAGGAGAACUUGCCCCCAAAACGAUCAUAAAACGGGACAAGUGGGUAGUAGUUUGUUUGAGGAAUACGAUGAUUAUGAUCCAAUUGGUACUCCCACCCCUUUUACACCGAAGCGUCCCAGGAAUAAUAUGAGGCCAUGUAAGACCCACCCUGUGAAGAGACGACUUUUUGUCACUAAAGUGGAUACUUCUCCAGUGCAGUUGAGCAAGGAUGUUAAUGACUUGCGUAGUUGCGAUGCACAAGUCGUCCAAAAUUCAACGUUCACUGAUGCGGACACGUCUCUAGGUGUUGCUGUGGGUAAUAGUUGAUAUGAUCGAGCGGGUGACAUUGGGAGCUAAACUAAUAUUUUUUUUUAAAAUUUUUUGAGGACUUAAAUCUGUUAGUAUUUUGUAUAAAUGCUCUUAAAUGAUGGUUGAUGGAUAUUUGUUUUGCUGUAUGGAAGUUUAUAUUUUUUAUGCACACUUCUUUUUUUUCCUGAAGAAAGAAUUUUGUUAAGGGAAGGGAUGGAAAAUAAUGCAUGACUGAUUUUGUAAGGAAUUAUCAUUCACCAAACGAGGUUGUAAGAAAUCGUACACUACCUUGCAGU